GUCAGUGUGGUAUAGUGGUUUGAGCACUGGACUAUGACUCUGGAGACCAGAGUUCAAGUUCCUGCUCAGCCU